GCCACCGUAGCUCAGAGGAUAGAUCUAUGGUCACGUAAACCAGAAAUCGCAAGAUCGAAUCUCGCUGGUGGCU